GUGAAUCAUCGAAUCUUUGAACGCACCUUGCACCCUUUGGUAUCCCGAAGGGUACACCCGUUUGAGUGUCAUUGUAAUCUCACCUCUUCAACCUUUGUUGUUGAUCAGUGUGGACUUGGGUGCUGCUGUGUAACAAACAGCUCAUCUGAAAUGCCUGAGUGUAUCCUGUUUUGUGGUGGAUUCGGUGUAAUAAACCUUCACCGGAGAAGAUCUUUUGGAUCACACCUCUUUAGCAUGGCUCUAUGCUUCCAACUGUCUUCACAAGACAAACUACUUUGACAAUUUGACCUCAAAUCGGGUGGGACUACCCGCUGAACUUAAGCAUAUCAAUAAGCGGAGGA
rnacentral:misc_RNA from 1 species